rnacentral:rRNA from 16 species
AUCCUCGGCCAUAGAAUGACGAAAACGACGCGUCCCGUCCGAUCUGCGAAUCUAAGCGUCGUAUCGCUAGGUUAGUACCAAGGUGGGGGACCACUUGGGAAUCCCUAGUGCCGAGGUU